CUCACACCGUCGACAUCUUAACUCCUGUGGAAAUUCCAAAAACAAAAUCAAAAAAUGUGGUUUUCGUGCUGUUUGAACUAUUUUUGUCCCAUCAGCCCGCGCUUUGGAGUCAUCAAUCUCGGAAUAUGUAGCUUGAUUUUUCGAUUUUUGCGAAGUGCUUAUUUUCCGAUUUGGCGUUUGAAUUAUUAUGAUCGAAACACUUUUUCCGGCUUUCAAUUAAUUUUCGAUCUCGUAUUCAUGACUGUGCUUGGUAGUGUUGCCGAUGGAUUGUUGAUUUUUGGCGCAAUUAAAAAAAUACGUGAAAAUGUGAAAAUUUCCUUAUAUCUCAGCAGCAUUGUGUUUUUGUAUGAAAUUGUUUCUUAUAUUACUUUCUACUUUUUGUGUCUGCAUUAUUGUUAUCUCUAUUUUGAAAUUCCGCUGAUUCAAGUUUUCAACACUAUCUACUUAUUUAUGGCUUUCAGCUUAGAAAGAACAUGGGAAACUAGAAUCAACGACAACUUCAUUGACAAUGUCCUUUACAACAUAAUGCAGAAUUUAAAGAAUAACCAACGACUGUAUGCUUAAAAAUUGAAUUUACUUACCAAAGAUCUUAUAAUUUCUAUAAAAAAAUAUUUUUGAUAAAUUUUCUAACAAAUUUCGCUCUUCU